GACGAACGCUGGCGGCGUGCUUAACACAUGCAAGUCGAACGGAAAGGCCCUGCUUUUGUGGGGUGCUCGAGUGGCGAACGGGUGAGUAACACGUGAGUAACCUGCCCUUGACGUUGGGAUAACUUCAGGAAACUGGGGCUAAUACCGGAUAGGAGCUCCUGCUGCAUGGUGGGGGUUGGAAAGUUUCGGCGGUUGGGGAUGGACUCGCGGCUUAUCAGCUUGUGGGGGGGGUAGUGGCUUACCAAGGCUUUGACGGGUAGCCGGCCUGAGAGGGUGGCCGGCCACAUUGGGACUGAGGUACGGCCCAGACUCCUACGGGAGGCAGCAGUGGGGAGUCUUGCACAAUGGGCGGAAGCCUGAUGCAACAACGCCGCGUGCGGGAUGACGGCCUUCGGGUUGUAAACCGCUUUCGCCUGUGACGAAGCGUGAGUGACGGUAAUGGGUAAAGAAGCACCGGCUAACUACGUG
rnacentral:rRNA from 1 species